GCCGCUCCCCGGUGCCCCGGCCAUGCACAAAUUCGAGCCCAGCGAGGGAGGAGUUAAAGCUUCAUCCAGCCCAAGUGACUGAAACCCGCGCGUUCAGGAGACGGCUUCGUCUGACAGCAGGGAUAAUGAGCCAGCUCUUUCAGGAGCGGGCUUUGGAGAGGAGAGGAGGGGGAAUCCCGGUUGCUCGGGGGAAGGCAUGCGUGCUGUGCCGUGUUACGGCUGCAUUCCUGCCGACGCUCAGCGAAGCCAGAGGCAUCCUCACACACGCAGGAAUUUGUUGGGCGUGGGGUGCCCCCGUUUUCUGUCCUGCGGGCAAGUUUCUGUUGUGUCACUAGCACCGUGUGGCAGCAGAGCCCCACGGCAUCACACCCGCCGCGGUCCCGGCCCGCUCCGCCACUCGGCAGCGCGGCCGUGGGACGGGGGGACACGGGUGGACGGAUGCCCGAGACAUCCCGCAGGCAUCGCACCGCAGCGUGCGAGUGGGGAGCGCAGUUCCCGUGUCCCCUCCCUCCUAGGAUGGGCAAGCACACCGAAAAGCCAAUAUGCAACAAGACGGAAAGUAGCUAUUUUGUUUGUUUUAGGGGGGAGUGGGAGGGACUAACACCCGCUUCGAAUUUUUUUUCUUCUACUUUUUAUAGUAUAGCCAUAGAUUGGACCGAAAAGUUGGUGGCGAAAUAAGUAAUUUCUACUUUCAGCUUACUCUGUGCACGUAACUGCAGUUUUUGUAUCGAAACUAAACUAUUUUGGAUGGAUUUCCUACCUCGGGAACCAACCUGGUGACAUCAUUCAUUCAUUAGUCAGGAGAAGCACAACCCUCUGCUCUCUGCAUCAGCUUUCACAGGGGAGCCCGAAUCAGGAAUAUACCACAGCAAUCGCCACUUUUGCAAGACCUGGGGGACAAACCCCGCCUCUUUUCCUUUCCUGCUGGGAACAAGGCAAUGAUACAGGACAGACUGCAUCUGAUCAUUGUCCGUGCCAAUUCCCAGAAGAGAGGCAAAGCUCUUCUGCUGAGGGUGCCUCUCCAGCCCAUGCAGGUGGAAAAGAGAGAGCUGUAAGAAAACCACCACACUUUUCUCUGCUCCCAAGCAUGGACAGCCUUAAUGAUGUGCGGCCACUGGAAGAAAGCUGCAGGUGUCUUUUAUGCUCAUUCAUGCUGUGCUCUCUCGGUAUGAAGUAAAGGGGUCAUGGGUACGUGUCCCACCCUUCCCAUCCUUGCCCAGAGUCUGAGCUGAUGCUGAUGCCAGCCCCAGUGAAGUACCGCAGCAUUUCUAACUCCUGGGUACCCAGCGCUGCAGUUCGGUGUGCGACUACUGUAAUGCCAUGUUCCCUCCUCCAGAGAGCCAGGCCCUGGAGGCAGCACCCACUGUCCUGACACAGCCACUAUGGGAGUUAAGUUACAAACAUGGCUAUGUUCAUUCGUGGGACCAGUCAGCCCUUGGGGUGAUAACAUUGCCUUCAAAGCCCAGGGACUGGAGUGCAGUGCGUGCCCAGCACAAACGCAGCGAUGAGCAAGUUAACUUCACUGACUAUUAAUAGUGCUGUGUUUGCCAUCAAGGACAGUGCAAGGCCAUGUAUCACCGCUGACAUCAAAGAUAUAAAACACUGCAUCAGGAGGGGAUUGUAAUGGCCUGAGCUGAACCCUGCCCCAGAGGACAGGAGAGAGGCAGAAGUGAGAUGAAACCCUGUGUCUCUGCAGAGGCAAGAGUACAACAGCCCCUAAGAGACUUACAUGGAAGAGAAAUGCAGUGAAAUGCAACAGCAGACUGCCUGCAACAGUGAUUUACAAAAGGCCCUAAUUACGUCAGCAGCACAAGGCACCUUCUAUUCAAAAUUAAGGUUAAGAAUGCUAAGCCAACCAGAGCACUAUAUUGGCUGAACAUUCAGUGCUUUACAGUGCAAAGGAGCAGAUAACAGACUGCACCAUUGUUCUGGGAAGAAGUCUUCCCCCAAGCUUUUCUUUUCUUUUUUCAAAAGACAAAAAGACAUAAAAAAUUAAAAAUUUAAAAGAACAUUAAUAUUCAUCACUUCAGUGGUUUCAUAUAAUGGGUCGCAUAUCUUGACUAUCUUCAUGGCUGUUUCAUCUUCCAGCCUCAGUUCCUCAACCUCACUGCAGUAUUUUGUGUGUAUCAAGUAAUGCAAAUAUUUCAGGAAUGUGAAAGGAAAGAAGAAACAAAAACAAAAAUCAGAAAGCUCAAACUGUCAUGUGAUGGUCACAUAAUUUCUUCUCCACUUAUUAUGCUAUUUCUUUCAUUUUUUCUUCAAAACAAAACCUAUGACAAUACACAAUGAUCACAAAAACUGACUGUUUUACAUGAUGCUAUGCUGAAAAUCUUCAGUGGCAAACAGAUCUAUAUUUGCAUUCUACAAUCUGAAACAGUGUAAUUUAUAUCAGUGCAGACCAACCUGUGUUAUCCUGGGUUAUGACUCCAAACAUAAGAAGGAAGCACCUGUUAUCAGAAGGCCCUCUGACUGAAAUUUAAUAGAUAAAAGGUUUCAGUACACAAACAAAAGUUUUUAGUUCUUCUAGAGUUCCCCUUUACAAGAGACGUAGAUCAGAAACUUCACAGAAAGCUAUUAAAAUACACUGAAGUAUCAUUACUAAGAGCUGCACGAAGAGAAAAUCAGUCCAGCAAGUUUUGACUUACAUCCCCCAAUUUUACUCAUCAAGACUGCUCAGACAUGACAAUCAUACAGUCAGUGAGGUAAAUAGAAGGAAAAUGGAACUGAAAUGUAUGCACGUGCCAUAUGCAAGCAGAAGCAGCUAUUUACUGCAGAAGGCACCUAUGUACCAGGCAGGUACUUGGUGUUUUCAGUGGAACCCAUUUUUAAUGAGAUCUUUUUUCUGAAAGCUUUUUAUAAUCAAAGCUUAUCAGCUCACAAGAGCAGAGUCAGUCACUGGAGAAAUGAGGAAGCUUUCAAUUAGGUCAACUCAAAGCUGCUGAAGACUCAAGCUCAGCCUGUAGGCUACCCCUGAACUGCUAUUUGCCUGGUGGGAAAAGCAACAAAUAAAGGAAGGUUUUGCUUCCUAAAGUUACAAACUUUUGAAAAAGAAUGGCCUCUAAGCAUCCUUGAUGCACACCUGACAGGCAAGCAACUCAGUCAACCACAUCUACAUGCUGGAGCACCAGCCAGUCCCCCUUUACUUGCCCAGCAGCAUUAAGGCAGUUUUGUAAGACAUGGAAAUUUCAAUUGCUGCAAUGAAAUAAAUAUAUAGGUCAACUCUAUGGCUCUUUUUGCCUUCUCUGUUGCGCUGCUCAUGCAGGAAAAUCGCCCUUCAGACAAACAGCAGUGGUAACAGCAAUACAUCAUGGAUAAGAUCACUUAUACACAAGGCAUCAGAUAGUACUUCCUUAUAAAAGAAAAAAACCUGUGAGGUAUUCGAUCAUUGUCUUUUUGUUCCCUACAUAUACACAUAAAACCCUUGGAAAUGCUGAGGUUAAGGUUCUCAUAGCAACAUUAACUCUCUCCUCUGGCAUACACUAUAUUUAGGUACACAUUUAAAAGCCUAUGAACAAUGAAGGAGAACAACUGUUGUACGAUCAAGAUCUUAGUCUAUGACUUUCAUAUUCAGAACAGCAACCUCAAAAAAAAAAAAAAAAAUCCCACGAACCCCCACUUUAGUUGGUCAUGCUUCAAAACCCUAAUUCUGUCCCACUUCACUGGGCUAUUGAAUCUUAAAACCCAUUUCCAAGGGUCAGAGGAAUAACCUGACCUGAAGGUUAUCAUACUAUCAUCUUAUGUUCAGUGGUCAUCAUAACCAAUACUGAAGUCAUGAACUCCAUGAAGGUUGUACCAGCAAGAGAGGUUUUGGGAAUCAUGGAGAUGGGCAGGGCAGGAUUACCUCCAGGCUCAAGUCAGCAUUUGUAUUUGGAGGGUCAGCUCUUCUGAAGCCAUCAUGUAUGAACACCCAGUCACACAUGCACCCAGUAAUUUUGGAGAGUUGCAUUCCUUGUGAAAAUAAGGGAGAGAGAGAUGGAACAACUUAGGAUCUAAAGCGCAUGACAAAUGCUUCUGAUUCUGGACUUAAGAUGGAUGCCAUAAGCUAUGUUGGCUGAAUUCAGGCCACUGUGGUGAUUAAUCAAGCAAACAUCUCUCUGCACUAUUUACAUGACAGUUUAAUCCCAGCCAGCAGCUUAGCCACACACAGCCACUCCCUUACUGCCUCCAGUGGGAUGGGGGAAUAAAGUUAGAAAACUGAUGGGUUGAGACAAAGACAAUUUAUUAGGAAAGCAAAAGCUAUGCACAUGAGCAAAGCGAAACAUUAAAUUCAUUCCCCACUUUCCAUGGGCAGGCAGGUGUUCAGCCAUCCCCAGGAUGAGUAACAGUGAUUUGGAGGAACAAAAACCAUCACUUAAAACAUUCCUCCCCUUGCCCCCAUCCUUCUCCUUCCCCCAGCUUCAUAGGCCAAGCAUGACACCAAAUGGUGCAGGAUUUCCCUUGGGUUAGCUGGGGUCAGCUGUCCUGACUGUGUCCCCUUGAGCUUCUUGUGUUCCCCUCCCCUCCUUGCUGGAGGGGUGGGGUGAGGAGCAGAACAGACCUUGCCUCCAUGUAAACACUGCUGAGCAGUGACUAAAACAUCUCUGGAAUUAUCAACACUACUUUCAUCACAAAUCCAAAAUAUGGCCCCAUACCAGCUACUAAGAAGAAAAUUAACUCUACUCCAGUCAAAACUAGCACAAUUACACACUGCAAUUAUUGACAUUUGAGCUUAAAGAAAUAAGCAAAGUAUGUUACAUUGCAUGUAUACAAAGCACACUUAAAGGAAAAUAUCCAAUAACAAUUUGAGGCACCAGUUUAAAAUAAAAAUACUGUAAUAACAAGCCAAAGCUUUUCCUACUCCAAUUCAAAACUGCAUGGGAAAAUGAUUAUUUGAUAUGCAGGCAUCAAAUUAUCUGCUUCUAUCUUCUCAAAACUUAAAGCAUUUCUUAAAUCUAAAAGUACUGCUCUCUGUAUAGGCUUAAUAUUGUAUAGCAACUGCAUCAAAGCAUCUUCAAAAACCACAGCUAUUUACAUACAACACUGCAGAGCACAUUUUCAAGACAUAACCACUGCCUGCAUGGACGAAAGAUUUAUUUCAAUAUGUGUGCACAUACUUAGAGGCUGAAGGUUUGGAAACCUGCUAGUAAGCUGCUACCUUAUAAUUUCCAUAUUUUAAAAAUAAAUAGUGGAAUGCAGUUUUCAGUGAUACAUACCUACAUACAGACAACACAUCAAUUUUGUGACAGCAUUCCCAAAUGUUGUUUCAACUCUUUCCCACUUUGGUUUAAUGUCCAGAUAGAUCAUUUGACCUGUUUGACAUUUUCUCAUCUUCCCAUUCAAUUCCUCAUUUGCCUCUCAUUUUUAGGUAAAAGAAAGGAGAAAGACUUUUGCAAUCCUUCUAAGAGUAACAAUAGACCUUUAUGAAUUUUGCUGAAGCUUCAGGGUAUUUGCAGUAGCUGGAAGAGAGAAAGCUUGGGAAGCAGUUUAUAUAGGCUUUGACAAUCCACACCAGCAGGAAGGGAGUGCAGUAACAGCCAGCUCACUCAGUCCUGGCUGUGGGGGUCCAGACUGUUCCAGCAUUUUCUGCUAGUUUUGACUGUAAAUGUGCUCCCUUCUCUCCACACAGCUCCUCCUAACAGCAAUUGCUUUUUAUGCAAAAAUCCCUUCUGGUUUCAUGAUCCUUUACAUACAUUAAAAAAGACAGUUACAGACACUCUUACACUCCUUUGAUUAUGUAAGGAAAGGCAUUUCCUUAAAUUAUUUUGCUGGCAUUAACCUUUAUCUUUCAUAUAUUUUAUUGCGCAAUUUAUCCCUAGACAGUUUCCAAUUCUCCUCAGCUAUGCUUACAGAAUGCAUUAUUUAUUGUCUGAAUUUGCUCCAGAGAAAGGUUUAGUACAAAACUUCUUGCAAACAUUAUUUAAAUCAUUAACAACCCUAGAAAGAGUAAUACAAAGAAAAACCAUAAUAAUUUCUUUAUUAAAUCCUUAAGUAACCAAGCUAGUUACUGAGUAUUUUGAAUUGCUUUGCCAUUAUAAAUUACUCUGUAGAAAAGGAAUUACCACAUCUUCCUUGCUGCACAGGCUUCCAACCACAAGAACCACAUUAAUCUGAAGCUUGGCAGAGGGUGCAACAAGGCUCCAGAGAGCAGCAUCCCAUACGAUUUAGGAAAAUGGUACAGGUCCCCAAGACUUGCAUGGCUUCUUUCCCAGUAGGACCCCGUGACAACAGCAGCUAAGACCCUUGUCAUCUAGGGCCCAGGCCACCCUAUGAGCCAAAAAGCCAUUUCUGCACAGGACUCAGCAACAUGCAGUUAGCUUCUCACUUUGAUUUAGGAUUAUCCAAGCAGAACUUCUACCUGGACCCCUCCUUCCCUUGCAUGUUCUUCUGAGGAGAGAGGACCAAAGAGGUUGCACAGCAGACAAUAGGAACACCUUUAAGGGCAGCACACACACCUAGACCUGGCUCCAGCAUUCUUUGCAUUUACACAUCCAGCCAGGUAUUAUUAGGAAAGGGACCAGAGACUGCUUUCAAAGAUGUCUUUGGAGACUGAGGAUUAGUAUUUGAAAAUGUAUGCAUUUUCAGUCCAUGGGAAAACUUUUCGGGUAGUAACUGUCUCUUACAUGAUAAAAUGGGACAUUGGGAUUUUGAUUGUGGUUGAUGUAGAGCAGAAAUAAAAUAGAACAAAACCAGAGCCCAACAACAGGGGAAAAUGCCAAAUAAACUAUAUUUGAAAUGUCCAGACACAACAAAACAAACACAUUAUUUUAAGAACAAGUAGUUAUGAAAUUUGUCUUGAACAAAUGCAAUCCAAUUUACCCAGUCUGGUGGCAGAGGAAUCUAAGCUAGCAUUAAGAUGUAGGGCCGGACAGAAAUUAAAUUUAGAAUGCAAUACAGGGUAAGACAAAGAUAGACCCUCUUCCCACUCCUGUGUCUUCUUCCAUCCUCCCAAAAAAGUAAUCACAAGGAGCGAAAAAGUCAAGGAUUUAAGGACUUGUGAAUCUGUUCCCCAGUGCUUGCAAGAGCAGAGUUCCUAAGGUUUCCUCUGCAUCCUUGAGGGCUAAAAUAAAUUUAAAAAAAUAAAGAAAACAAGUUCUUAGCUGAAGCCCCAGCUCCUACUUGUGCUAGAAUUUACUUCAGCAGCAUGAAAAGUUUUCAGAAACAGAUACAGUGGUGCAUUAGA